rnacentral:rRNA from 1 species
CCGGUAGCCCCAUAGUCUGGGAUACCACUUGGAAACAGGUGCUAAUACCGGAUAAGAAAGCAGAUCGCAUGAUCAGCUUUUAAAAGGCGGCGUAAGCUGUCGCUAUGGGAUGGCCCCGCGGUGCAUUAGCUAGUUGGUAAGGUGAAGGCUUACCAAGGCGAUGAUGCAUAGCCGAGUUGAGAGACUGAUCGGCCACAUUGGGACUGAGACACGGCCCAA